rnacentral:tRNA from 1 species
AUUUAUAUAGUUUAAAUAAAACAAUACAUUUUCAAUGUAUAAAUAAAUAAAUAAAAUUUAUAAAUG